CCUACGGGUGGCAGCAGUGAGGAAUAUUGGUCAAUGGACGAGAGUCUGAACCAGCCAAGUAGCGUGAAGGAUGACUGCCCUAUGGGUUGUAAACUUCUUUUAUAUGGGAAUAAAAUGUUCCACGUGUGGGAUUUUGUAUGUACCAUAUGAAUAAGGAUCGGCUAACUCCGUGCCAGCAGCCGCGGUAAUACGGAGGAUCCGAGCGUUAUCCGGAUUUAUUGGGUUUAAGGGGAGCGUAGGUGGAUUGUUAAGUCAGUUGUGAAAGUUUGCGGCGCAACCGUAAAAUUGCAGUUGAAACUGGCAGUCUUGAGUACAGGAGAGGUGGGCGGAAUUCGUGGUGUAGCGGUGAAAUGCUUAGAUAUCACGAAGAACUCCGAUUGCGAAGGCAGUUCACUGGACUGCAACUGACACUGAGGCUCGAAAGUGUGGGUAUCAAACAGGAUUAGAUACCCCUGUAGUC
rnacentral:rRNA from 1 species